AGAUUGAACGCUGGCGGCAUGCCUAACACAUGCAAGUCGAACGGGAGUAGCAAUACUCUAGUGGCGGACGGGUGAGGAAUACGUAGGAAUUUGCCCUUAAGUGGGGGAUAACCCGGGGAACCCGGAUUAAUACCGCAUGACCUCGAAAGAGCAAAGUGGGGGAUCGCAAGACCUCACGCUUUUGGAGAAGCCUACGUCGGAUUAGCUAGUUGGUGAGGUAAUGGCUCACCAAGGCGACGAUCCGUAACUGGUCUGAGAGGAUGAUCAGUCACACCGGAACUGAGACACGGUCCGGACUCCUACGGAGGCAGCAGUGGGGAAUAUUGGACAAUCGGG
rnacentral:rRNA from 1 species